AUAAAAGAAAUGUACGAAGCUUGAUUGGAAUUUCCAGAGGGGUGGGCAUGGGGGAAGGAAGUGCUUAUCUCUUCUGUGGCAUAGGACUGUGGUGGAGAUAUGGAUAUUUUCUGUAAGUACACAUUUCCAAUACGGGUAGAAUGGAUGGGGACUUAACUUUGUCUGACCUGAACAAGGUAAAAAGGAAUUUAAAGAAGCUGGAUGGCAAAAGUACCCCAUAUGACCCACGUGCCAAAUAAUCUUUCCGUUUGUUUCCUUCUGUGCCCAAUCCCACUCGGCUGCGCGUAGAAUGCCUGGGAGAUAUCGUGUCUGGUGCUUUUUUUACCACCAUUUGUUCAUGCUGUUUCUGCUAGACUUUGUGCAGCUCUAGCGUCCACUUGCGCAAAGUUAGCCAUGUCUCCGGAGCUACAAAGGAAGUUUUGGUGCAAUUUUUUACUUCAAAGUGUUUUUGGUGGCUCCACGCUUACGUCGCUUUGUCGCACGAUUGUCAUUUUUGCAAGAAUGUCUUCCUUUCUUCUGGUAUUCGUUUUCAAUGCAUUGAUGCGGACAUUAUUUGUGAAGUCUCUGAGAGGAUCGAUGACUUAAGCUACGGCAACUGUGACAAAUACAGGCUCAAACUUCAUUUUCACUGCCCUGUUGGGUUGCUUGCUGUUUGGCGAGACAUUGUCUGCGAGAUGGUGGUUAGGCACACCUCUAAUUCUCACAGGAUUGGUUUUGAUUCAUUAUAACAGUGUAUCCUUAACUGAUGACCACCUUCAUGACAAGAAAGAAUAACUAACAAAGGCUUAUGUUUGGUGGCAAUGCAACCCCCACUGUAUGAGUAUAGAAGUGUAUUAGGCCUGCACUGUUGGUAUGAGAAGAGCAAAAAGGAUUGUCUUUCUUGGUGGCCUAUUGCCUUCACCAAUCAGAUACAUGUAUAUUACAUGAUGGGUGGUAUUCAGAGAUAUAGCAAGCUUUGUGCAUGCCAUCUGACAACUACAAAACUGUUUCCACCUACAUGGCUUCCACACAAGAGUUUACAUUUGUCGGUAUCUCUGUUCAACAAGAUCAAGUCACAUUUGUUUGUGGUGUUGUGAAGCAGGUCACUGUGAAAUCAAAGGUGACUGCCAAAACGGAAAGGUUUUUUAUCAGCUUUCAGUUUCUUUCAAGGAUCUGUUAUAAUGAUUGUGCAUCAAAUCAGGAAAGCAACAUCGUAAUGUUGACAUCCCAAGGGUGACAUUUUGUAACUACUGCAUUGUCUCUGUAUCGUGUAAACACAACUCAAUGUCAUCUUCUAAAAGUGAGACUUGACAGCUUGAAGAUUGAAUUAAAAAAGGUUUCUUGGUACACUUGCCUCUACAUUUUGAAGAUAUCCAAAUCAAACCCCAUGCACUAGAUAUAAGGACAGUCAUAAUAGACCAUUUUACAGUUGUCUGCUCAGUGACCUGGCCUUUGUAUGGCAGCGAG